UGGGCAACGGUAGGUCAGCAUGCCCCGAAUUAUCUGGGCUACACGCGGGCUACAAUGGGUGGGACAAUGGGUAUCGACACCGAAAGGUGAAGGCAAUCUCCUAAACCCAUCCGUAGUUCGGAUUGUGGGCUGCAACUCGCCCACAUGAAGCUGGAAUCUGUAGUAAUCGUGUCUCAAAAUGGCACGGUGAAUAUGUCCCUGCUCCUU
rnacentral:rRNA from 1 species